rnacentral:rRNA from 2 species
AAACCGCGAGGUCAAGCAAAUCCCAUAAAGUUGUUCUCAGUUCGGAUUGUAGUCUGCAACUCGACUACAUGAAGCUGGAAUCGCUAGUAAUCGUAGAUCAGCAUGCUACGGUGAAUACGUUCCCGGGUCUUGUACACACCGCCCGUCACACCACGAGAGUUUGUAACACCCGAAGCCGGUGGAGUAACCAUUUGGAGCUAGCCGUCGAAGGUGGGACAAAUGAUUGGGGUGAAGUCGUAACAAGGUAGCCGUAUCGGAAGGUGCGGCUGGAUCACCUCCUUUCUAAGGA